CAGCAGGACAUCUACAGGCCAGCUGUGUCAGUGCUGGCUGGUUGUUCCCCCUGCUGAAAUCAAACUGUUUCCUACUAUCUGUCUGUCUGAAUCCCACGGCUUGCAGGGACGCUUGGUCUCAGACAU
rnacentral:snoRNA from 1 species